rnacentral:rRNA from 1 species
GGGGGGGGGGGGGGGGGGGGGGGGGGGGGGGGGGGGGGGGGGGGGGGGGGGGGGGGGGGGGGGGGCGGGAGGGGCGAAGGGGUGGGUAGGACGGGAGUGAGGUGGCGGUGGGGUUGGGAGAAGUUGAGGAGAGGGGGGGUAAUACCGGAGGGGAGGUCCUGGGGCAGGGGGGGGGGUGGAGAGUGUCGGCGGUUGGGGAGGGACGCGCGGCUUAUCAGCCUGUUGGUGAGGGAGUGGCGUACCAAGGCUUUGACGGGUAGCCGGCCUGAGAGGGUGACCGGCCACAUUGGGACUGAGAUACGGCCCAGACUCCUCCGGGAGGCAGCAGUGGGGAAUAUUGCACAAUGGGCGGAAGCCUGAUGCAGCAACGCCGCGUGCGGGAUGACGGCCUUCGGGUUGUAAACCGCUUUCGCCUGUGACGAAGUGUGAGUGACGGUAAUGGGUAAAGAAGCACCGGCUAACUACGUG